UUUUCCAUGUUAUCUUUGAGAUAUUGUCCUUUGAUUAAAUGAUUAAUAUUUAAUAUGGGUUUUAAUGUCAGUCAGAUCUAGGACCUUACUCAAAAUAGAUAGAUAGAUAGAUCUGUAUUGUCUUCAAAGAGCACAUUUGUUUUCACAGCCUGUAUGGUAAACAGCUGUAUAUUCACCAACUGUCAUCAUUAUAUAUACAGUAUAUAUUUUUUAAACGUCAUCACACUCAACCCACCACCAUCAUGAAGGUGUCAUCUAGACAAGACAGCAUGACAUAACUUAAUGGUAGUUAUCAGGAGGGAAGUUAGUUGAGCUCAGUGUUGGGAAAAGGCACAAAGCUCUUGCCAAAGCAUGCCUUUUUGCACAGCAGGAACCUGUGCGUCUGAGGCCGGAUGGAGGGGUGUGUUUUAAAGGCAGUCUGUGUGAUCUUGAAUACUUUGUUUUCUAUUAGUGACUGUGGCAUUGUGAAAUAGCAGGUGAUGGAGCCAUAGAGGAGGACGUCUAGAUGAUGCCAACUCCUUCAUAUGCUAAAUGUAUGAAAGAAAGCCUAUAAUACCAAUAUAUGAUAAACUAUGAAAACAAAUUAUCCAUCUUCCUCCUCGAUAUGGAAACUAACGACGAAGACAACGCCAGCGAAGUCCAGGACUACUCAAGGUGAAGUGCUGGAUGCCAAUUAUAUUUUCACCUACUAUAAUGUCCGAGAUAAACAAACUGAGGGCCCAGCUGACUGCUAAAGGUGAAGUUAUCGCAAACUUGAAAGACAUAAACAAGGAUCUGAAAUGUGGAAGUGACUGAAAAGGAUAAAAGUCAGUCAUGAUCAAAAGACGAAUCAACCGUGGCCCUUGAGCAAUAUGCUCAAAAUCGCUACAGAAAAAAAGGAAGAAGAUCAAGCAAGCCGAGUCCCAAGCAUCCGCUCAAACUCCAUGUGUGGGGGGCAAUUUCUCGGCAGGGAAUUUCUCGUCAGGCACCAGGCCCAUAUUGGAUUUUGAUGCUAAGUUUGGCUAUUUACAAUGUAAAAAGGUACAUAAAAUAUUGUAGCCUACACCUCACGGACUGUUAUGUGUUCCACAAUAAUUAACUCUUGCCUACUUUCAGAUAUCAUGGCUUGAGAUUUCUUUGAGGAACGUGACUGUCAGAGAGGUGUUUCUGGGUACACAUCAUUUCUUUCAAGACAAUGACAUAAAACACGGGUUUGCAUUGCAAAUGAGGCCAUAAACUGGGUCAAGUCGCCAGCAGAGUCUCCUGAUUUAAUUCCCGAUCGAACUUGUUUGGCAUCAACUGAAAACAUUCAUCCGUAACUCUGCCAUGCCGACAGGCAAAGAUGAACUGGUCAAGGCCAUCAAGAUGUUUUGGCUAGAGAAAUUGAUGAUACAACAAUGCAACAAAUACAUU